rnacentral:lncRNA from 1 species
UAUGUUUAAAAAUAGAAAAAUGCUAGAUGCCUCUUUGAGAAGUCUUCAUGCACACGUCUCACAUUCCUUCCUCUUCCAUGUCAUAUUAAGCCACCUCACACCUUAAAACCUAUGCUAGCCUGAUGGUUGGUUAGAUAAGAUAUCACACGGGUCUUAAACCCAUUUAAGAAGGACUCUCCAAGCCCCUUCACGCCAAGAAAAAUCUGCCACCCACAAUUUAUGCGCCA